AGUUUGAUCAUGGCUCAGAUUGAACGCUGGCGGCAGGCCUAACACAUGCAAGUCGAGCGGAUGACGGGAGCUUGCUCCCGGAUUCAGCGGCGGACGGGUGAGUAAUGCCUAGGAAUCUGCCUGGUAGUGGGGGACAACGUUUCGAAAGGAACGCUAAUACCGCAUACGUCCUACGGGAGAAAGCAGGGGACCUUCGGGCCUUGCGCUAUCAGAUGAGCCUAGGUCGGAUUAGCUAGUUGGUGAGGUAAUGGCUCACCAAGGCGACGAUCCGUAACUGGUCUGAGAGGAUGAUCAGUCACACUGGAACUGAGACACGGUCCAGACUCCUACGGGAGGCAGCAGUGGGGAAUAUUGGACAAUGGGCGAAAGCCUGAUCCAGCCAUGCCGCGUGUGUGAAGAAGGUCUUCGGAUUGUAAAGCACUUUAAGUUGGGAGGAAGGGUUGUAGACUAAUACUCUGCAAUUUUGACGUUACCGACAGAAUAAGCACCGGCUAACUCUGUGCCAGCAGCCGCGGUA
rnacentral:rRNA from 1 species